CUGCACCAACGGAUGCGGGGUGUCAGACCUUCACGCUAACACUGAGGAGUGAGGAGGAAACUAGCUGCACACCACGGAAGACAAUGAGUUUUGGAUACAGUGACAGGAAUGCUGGUGGAGAGCUUAAAGUACAGGAGUUUCCYGAGUCUACAUCAAGCUGUUCCAGUUCUAAAGCCACUGAUGAGACAAAUGGUCUUGAUCCUGAACA